GGUAGGAUGGCUGAGUUAAGCGGUGGGUUGUAGCCCCAUAUACAGAGGUUUGAGCCCUCUUCCUAUCA
rnacentral:tRNA from 1 species